rnacentral:rRNA from 1 species
UUGACCUCGGAUCAGGUAGGAAUACCCGCUGAACUUAAGCAUAUCAAUAAGCGGAGGAAAAGAAACCAACAGGGAUUGCCCUAGUAACGGCGAGUGAAGCGGCAACAGCUCAAAUUUGAAAUCUGGCUCUCGGGCCCGAGUUGUAAUUUGUAGAGGAUGCUUUUGAUGCGGUGCCUUCCGAGUUCCCUGGAACGGGACGCCAUAGAGGGUGAGAGCCCCGUCUGGUUGGAUGCCAAAUCUCUGUAAAGCUCCUUCAACGAGUCGAGUAGUUUGGGAAUGCUGCUCUAAAUGGGAGGUAUAUGUCUUCUAAAGCUAAAUACCGGCCAGAGACCGAUAGCGCACAAGUAGAGUGAUCGAAAGAUGAAAAGCACUUUGAAAAGAGAGUUAAAAAGUACGUGAAAUUGUUGAAAGGGAAGCGUUUAUGACCAGACUUGGACUUGGUUAAUCAUCUGGGGUUCUCCCCAGUGCACUUUUCCAGUUCAGGCCAGCAUCAGUUUUCCCCGGGGGAUAAAGGCGGCGGGAAUGUGGCUCUCUUCGGGGAGUGUUAUAGCCCGCCGUGUAAUACCCUGGGGGGGACUGAGGUUCGCGCAUCUGCAAGGGA